rnacentral:rRNA from 1 species
AUUGAACGCUGGCGGAAUGCUUUACACAUGCAAGUCGAACGGCAGCACGGACUUCGGUCUGGUGGCGAGUGGCGAACGGGUGAGUAAUGUAUCGGAACGUGCCCAGUCGUGGGGGAUAACGUAGUGAAAAUUACGCUAAUACCGCAUACGAUCUAUGGAUGAAAGCGGGGGAUCGCAAGACCUCGCGCGAUUGGAGCGGCCGAUAUCAGAUUAGGUAGUUGGUGGGGUAAAGGCCCACCAAGCCAACGAUCUGUAGCUGGUCUGAGAGGACGACCAGCCACACCGGAACGGAGACACGGUCCAGACGCCUACGGGAGGCAGCAGUGGGGAAUUUUGGACAAUGGGCGAAAGCCUGAUCCAGCCAUUCCGCGUGCAGGAUGAAGGCCCUCGGGUUGUAAACCGCUUUUGUACAGAACGAAAAGGUUUCUACUAAUAUUAGGAGCUCAUGACGGUACUGUAAGAAUAAGCACCGGCUAACUACGUGCCAGCCGCCGCCGUAA